AUGAUUACCACAAUCCAUCUUCACAUAGUUAUACAUUUUUCUUGUGAUGAAAACUUUUAAUGUCUACUGUCUUAGCAACUUAGCAAAUAUAGAGUAUUGUAAACUAUAGUCACCAUGCUAUACUCAACGACACUUACUUGUCACUAAUCAGUGUUUUAAGAAUCACUGUAAGACCUUUCCAAUCUGCCAUCUACAGUACAAUCACCACCAAGAUGCAGAUUUUCAUGAAAACCCUUGUAGGAAAGACCCUCAUUCUCAAGGCUGAGCCCUCGGGUACAACAGAAAACAUAACAGCCAAGGUCCAGGAUAAGGAAGGAGUUCCUCCUGAUCAGCAAAGACUGAUCUUUACUGCCAAGCAACUGGAAGACAGGAAGAGCACACGUCUGAUCUCCAA